AUGAGGUUUCUACCUUGAUCUCUUAGAUCGUUCUUUCUAGAAUAAGCUAGGAGGAUGCCCUGGACAUACUGGAUCACCCCUGUGGAGAGUCACAGGUGAAGAGAAACUGAGGCCUCCCACCAGUAGCCAGCACCCACCGUCAGCCAUUGUUAUACUUCAACAUGCGAGGGAGCAGAACUCAUCACUGGUCACGGGCGGUAUCACCAGACACCAAAGGGAUCCUGAAUUCCUCCUUCACCAAAACAAACAACAAAUUUCAUGGUGGUUCUAAGACAUUCAGUUUUAUAGUAACUUGUUAUAGAACAAUAGUUGCUGAGCUUCAUUUUCCUACUUUCCAUCUGAUUUCGACAGGAUACUCUAGAUGCCUCAAAGGUACCUACAGUUGGAAGUUAAACCCCCCUCAGGGAUUGUCUCCCUGUGCACAGUGGGUUGCUCAGGAAGUCUCUUCCUUGACUCCCCAGAGGGUAGGUUGGCCAUCUGAUUGCAUUCUGGCCUGUGGAAUGUGGAAGGUGGUGUGACUUCAAACCUACCCCAUGAAACUUCUAACAUGUGCCCUCCCACGUUCUUGUCCAUUUCUGUCUGAAUAUAACCUCUGAAGCUGUGUGUUAAA